rnacentral:rRNA from 1 species
AACGAACGCUGGCGGCAGGCCUAACACAUGCAAGUCGAGCGAGGACUUCGGUUCUAGCGGCGGACGGGUGAGUAACGCGUGGGAAUGUGCCCUUCUCUACGGAAUAGCCCUGGGAAACUGGGAGUAAUACCGUAUACGCCCUAUUGGGGAAAGAUUUAUCGGAGAAGGAUCAGCCCGCGUUGGAUUAGGUAGUUGGUGGGGUAAUGGCCUACCAAGCCGACGAUCCAUAGCUGGUGUGAGAGGAUGAUCAGCCACACUGGGACUGAGACACGGCCCAGACUCCUACGGGAGGCAGCAGUGGGGAAUCUUAGACAAUGGGGGCAACCCUGAUCUAGCCAUGCCGCGUGAGUGAUGAAGGCCUUAGGGUUGUAAAGCUCUUUCAGCUGGGAAGAUAAUGACGGUACCAGCAGAAGAAGCCCCGGCUAACUCCGUG